rnacentral:lncRNA from 1 species
GGCUUAGGUUCGAACCUGCGGGGUCACACACAUUAGAGGUUCCUAUCUGAUCUGAUGGCUGAUGUAGAAUCCUACAUGUUUGAGACUCAGUGAUCGAGAAUUAGGAUUCUCUGAUCAUGAGUUCCACACAUUAUGGGUACCGGGGUCAAGAGUCCCACUGGUUGGGACUUUUCGAUCAGGGUUACAUAUCGAUGAAUUUUGAUGCCCGAUUGCCCAUCGGAUUUGGACUCAAUAUUUAUGAGAG